rfam:Camelus ferus unplaced genomic scaffold scaffold473, whole genome shotgun sequence.
GGAAGGGUAUAGCUUGUGGUAGAGCGCAUGCUUAGCGUGCAUGAGAUCCUGGGUUCAAUCCUCAGUACCUCCU